GCGCAGGAUCGCAGGAUCUUGGGCUGUGUCCCCCAGCGCCCUGGGCUCCCGGGCCUGCGCCACUGGAAUCGCACUCCUAGAGCCGCCCCAGAGCUGCUC
rnacentral:pre_miRNA from 1 species